rnacentral:rRNA from 1 species
GGCGUGCCUAAUACAUGCAAGUCGAGCGGACAGAUGGGAGCUUGCUCCCUGAUGUUAGCGGCGGACGGGUGAGUAACACGUGGGUAACCUGCCUGUAAGACUGGGAUAACUCCGGGAAACCGGGGCUAAUACCGGAUGGUUGUCUGAACCGCAUGGUUCAGACAUAAAAGGUGGCUUCGGCUACCACUUACAGAUGGACCCGCGGCGCAUUAGCUAGUUGGUGAGGUAACGGCUCACCAAGGCGACGAUGCGUAGCCGACCUGAGAGGGUGAUCGGCCACACUGGGACUGAGACACGGCCCAGACUCCUACGGGAGGCAGCAGUAGGGAAUCUUCCGCAAUGGACGAAAGUCUGACGGAGCAACGCCGCGUGAGUGAUGAAGGUUUUCGGAUCGUAAAGCUCUGUUGUUAGGGAAGAACAAGUGCCGUUCAAAUAGGGCGGCACCUUGACGGUACCUAACCAGAAAGCCACGGCUAACUACGUGCCAGCAGCCGCGGUAAUACGUAGGUGGCAAGCGUUGUCCGGAAUUAUUGGGCGUAAAGGGCUCGCAGGCGGUUUCUUAAGUCUGAUGUGAAAGCCCCCGGCUCAACCGGGGAGGGUCAUUGGAAACUGGGGAACUUGAGUGCAGAAGAGGAGAGUGGAAUUCCACGUGUAGCGGUGAAAUGCGUAGAGAUGUGGGAGGAACACCAGUGGCGAACG